rnacentral:lncRNA from 1 species
UAAUUAUCGACUCCACGGACUCAACCUCUCUUAACCUCCUAUGAAUCUCGCGCAAUCCUCCGGGUUGUCCACGCUCUCACAUUCGAAUCCACGAACGCCACGUUCCGAAUCCACGAAACGCCUUCACUCCGAAUCCACGAAGCUCACGAUCCGAAUCCACGAAACCCCGUCAAUCACGCCGAAUCCACGACGCCGUCAUGAAAAACAUCAUGUAUAU